ensembl:snRNA U6 U6 spliceosomal RNA
GCUUGCUUUGGCAGCCCAUAUUAAAACUGGACUGAUACAGAGAAGAUCAGCAUUUCCUCUAUGAAAGGAUAGGAGAAUUUGUGAAACAUUCAUAGUUUUA